GACGAACGCUGGCGGCGUGCUUAACACAUGCAAGUCGAACGGAAAGGCCCUGCUGUUUUGGGGUGCUCGAGUGGCGAACGGGUGAGUAACACGUGCGUAACCUGCCCUUGUCUUUGGGAUAACUUCAGGAAACUGGGGCUAAUACCGGAUAGGAGCUCCUGCUGCUUGGUGGGGGUUGGAAAGUUUCGGCGGUUGGGGAUGGACUCGCGGCUCAUCAGCUUGUUGGUGGGGUAGUGGCUUACCACGGCUUUGACGGGUAGCCGGCCUGAGAGGGUGACCUGCCACAUUGGGACUGAGAGACGGCGCAGAGGUCUACGGUGGGCAGCAGUGGGGAAUAUUGCACAAUGAGCGGAAGCCUGAUGCAGCAACGCCGCGUGCGGGAUGACGGCCUUCGGGUUGUAAACCGCUUUCGCCUGUGACGAAGCGUGCGUGACGGUAAUGGGUAAAGAAGCACCGGCUAACUACGUG
rnacentral:rRNA from 1 species